GUAGGUGGCAAGCGUUGUCCGGAAUUAUUGGGCGUAAAGCGCGCGCAGGUGGUUCUUUAAGUCUGAUGUGAAAGCCCCCGGGCUCAACCGGGGAGGGUCAUUGGAAACUGGGGAACUUGAGUGCAGGAGAGGAAAGUGGAAUUCCACGUGUAGCGGUGAAAUGCGUAGAUAUGUGGAGGAACACCAGUGGCGAAGGCGACUUUCUGGCCUGUAACUGACACUGAGGCGCGAAAGCGUGGGGAGCAAACAGGAUUAGAUACCCUGGUAGUCCACGCCGUAAACGAUGAGAGCUAAGUGUUGGGGGGUUUCCGCCCCUCAGUGCUGCAGCUAACGCAUUAAGCACUCCGCCUGGGGAGUACGGUCGCAAAGACUG
rnacentral:rRNA from 1 species